GUGAGGGAGCUGGAGCGUGUGGGUGUGCAGUCAGCAGUGACACAGGGCCUUGUUUUCUUUCUUUCUUUUUAAAUAAUACCUUCCUUUUGCCUACUGAAGCAGGGUUCACAAAGGGCCUUUUCAAAGAUUUUAGUUUUUAAAAAAUUUAUUCUUAAACUAGUAAGGAAGUCCUGGAAGGUAUGAUGAGUCCUGUUUUCAAUGCUGUGGAACAUUCAUCCGAAGAAGUUGCCUCUUUGAACACUUGUAAUGUCUUCAGUGAUGUGAUGGCAACCACAGAGACCAUGGAUCUAUCUUUUAUGAAAGGCAAAUGAAUCCGUAGAGCUUAAAAUAACAAUGGCUAUUUAAAGUGGGCCACAUGGGAGAUUAUUCCUGUUUUCCAGAAGGAAAUCUGAUGCCUUUGUAUCUGCAACCAUCCUGCAAACACCUCAUUGUGAAGUAUAAGUGCUGCUUUGACCAAGAAGGUCUGUAAGCUUGAUGCAAUGUCAUGACGUGGGAAUCUCCGUGAGGUUUCUCAGAGCCCAGCUGGUCUGAACACCGCCUCUGAGGUUCUGCCAAGAAUCAGAACAGGGCAGCUCUCUACAGUGGCGUCUGCCUGUGAGACACAAUAGCAUUAUCCCUUAGUGGGUUUAAGUUCUUGGACCCACAAAGUCCUGCGAGGUUCCAUCACAACAAUCUCCUGGAGCAUGGGACACUGAGUGGUGGAGGAAGAAGGGUAAUUAUCGUGAGGUAGAAGCAAAUACAAUACUAUCUCAAAUAUCACUGAGAUCUUUUGCAGAUGGGAAGGUGACCAUGGAUGGAGAUGGAGGGAAGGAAGGAGGAGGCUUGGAAGGGGAGGAGGACAUAUAAAGAGUUAAGAUGAUGGAGAUACCUCAAAGAGCUUGGACUGGAGGUUCCAUUUGACCCAGCCAUCCCU